rnacentral:snoRNA from 1 species
GUCAGUGAUGAAAACCUGGAAUAGGAAGUGCCGUCAGAUGCGACAAUUGACGAUAAUUUCGAAUCCAUUUUUCUGAGU